GCCCGUUCCCCUCCCCACCCAUACCGCCGCUGCUGGAGCCACCCACCGCCCCGCCUCCCUCACACAGACCUCACCGCCGGCCAUGGCCUUCCCCAACAGCCGCCGCUCCGGCCCUCUCCCCCUCCCCUCCCCUUAUCACAAGACAAGAGAAGAGAAGAGGGAGGGAAAUCGAUCGCGACCGAGCAGGUCAAGCGGCGACAAUGGCGCGCCCAGACCCGCCAGCGUCGUCGUCGUCGAGCUGGGCUGGGCGGCGCAGUCCGGUAGAGUAGGAAUGAGGGGGCGGUGGGACGCCUCCCCUGCUCGAGCUGCUCCAAGCGAGCGACCACAGCGCCGGAUCCACCUCCACAACCACCCCCCGGCGGCCACGGAAGGUCAGGGACCUUCGUCCGGUCCGUGUGCUUCUUCUCCAUGGAGCUCCGACACCGCAGCAGCCGCAUCCAUGGAAGGUCCCUCUUCUCCUCCCCGCCUCUCUCUCCCUCCCUCCCUCUGUUUGUUUCGAUCUGGAAACUGUCUGAUUCGAUUUCCUCACAUGCGCACGUGCUUCUUCCGCUCUCCGCUGCUCCAACCCUAGUGCCGACGCCAUGGACCUCGUCAAUCGUGGUUUGCUGCUGCCGCCGACCGUUUCCCUGACAAGUUGACACCAAAGCCACCAUUGUCAAAGCCGCCGUUGGCCGGCGUUGCCACUGGUCGCUGCUCCACGCAUCUUGUCGGUGCUGCGAGGCGAUGCCAUCUACAUAUGUUGCUGCAGCCUGGGAGGUGGCAGGGUCUCCAGGUGAUGCCCUCUUUGCUGCCCAAUCGUUGAAGAUGCCAUAGGACGAGAUCCUCUGCUGCUGCUGUGUCUGGUGGUUGAAGAAGGGGUGUGCUGGGAAGAGGAGGCAGUGUUGAGAGUGCUCGAUCUGGAACAGGACGAGCUUGGGCUGCAUCGGCUCUGGUUCUCAACCUCCAACAUGAGUCCCUUUCUUCCGUGCCUCGAACUCCAUGAGUCAUCAUGGGCACUGCAGAUGCGGAGGAGUUUUUCCGGGGCGAUCUGCUUGUUCCCGGUCGCGCUGGUGUCAACUACCUCGAGCCACUAUGACCAUCCCAACCACGCUCACCCCCCUGAACGAAUUGUUUGUGGAUCUGCAAAGGGGGAUUCAAUUAAUUUUCAGUUGUAGAAAAGGGAGAAGGGGGAUUCAAUUAAUUUUCCUCCUCAAGAUCAAAGAAACAAAAUCUUUGUGGCGAUGAUAGAAGGGUUCACGACUUCACGUUAAUACACAGACUAUUGGUAGCUCAUGGCGAGUGAUGGUGUUAUCCUAAAAUUGGCUAAUUGUGGCUCAUAUUGUUUUCCCUAGGUAGCUCAUGGUGAGUGAUGCGUGAGCCGUCUCGAUCCUUUUGCUAUGUUAUUAUAUUUUAGCCAUGAAGGAUUUACUGCUUGUCAGUUCGUAGUGGUUCCGGCUGUUUGCUGAACUUCUGUUCUUGCUUGUGCUAUUUUUUUUACUGUUUAGAUGGCUCAAUUUACUUCCAAUUUUACUCUUGAGUUUUCCCAUGCAUGCAUACUCUUAUACCCCUCCUACUUGCUUGUUGGUCCUAUGCUCUGCCUUUGUGAGGUGUAAUUGUUCAAUUUUGUUCAUAGUCGAGCAUUGGAUGAUAUUGUAUUUGUCAUGAUGUGCAUGGUUCAUGAACUAUGCUAACCUGCAGCUUCGUUGUACUACUGAUAGUAGGAUAAUGCAAGUUUUGACAAUACAUGCAUGUUUCUGCAUCAUAAUAAUCUUCUUCUUCUAGUCUUCUUCUAGUCUUCUUCUUCUAACUUUCUUCUUUCCCAUUUUACAAAUUUGCUUAAGAUCAUGGAAGCUUGGGUUUAUGGAGUGCUUGUAUUUAGUUUUUGUUUUGACGUUGUGAAACUUGCUACCUAUGGAUGAAAUUGUGUAAUAUUGAUGAAACUAUGUAUAUGUACGGAUGAAACUGGCUACUAUUGGUAACAUGU